AUAAGACAAGGUCAUUCUUCAAGAGUGUUGUCAGCCAACUUCUUGUUCGAGCGGAAGAAGCAGCUAUCGAGUCGUCUGCUAACAAAGAGUUUAACGAACAGGAUGCACUAAGUUCUGUGUUGCUCUUUGUGGGUGAAGUGUUAUCCCGUGUUAGCCGUCGUGGAUCUACUGGCAUUUUAGUUGCUGAAUUGAUCCCUAUGAUCCGUAAUCACUUACAAAGAUGUGUAGCACCAGACUGUAAGACGAUAAUUCCUGACAUGAUCAAGCAUGUUCCUCAGUCUCGGUUUUGGUUCACUGUGAUUGAAGCAUUGAGAGAUCAGCAUUCUAUUGAAAGAUUGACUGAAGAGAUGUUGCGCCAACUUGCAUCACACCAUUUAAAUGAUGAAGAAGCGUACUGGAUUUUGUGGACUCUGUUUAAUCAGAGUAUCAUGCAUAUUGCUGUUAUGAGGGCAAUGUUUAUUGACAAAUUUUUGCUUUGGAAAACAUUUCCAUUAUGCUGCCUGAGAUGGAUUCUUCAUUAUGCUGUCUUUGAAUUCCCACCAAAUUCAGUCGCAGAAGCCCAAAUGCGAAGGACAUCAAACUUCCUGGUUACAUUGCAAUGUUUAGUUACUGUUUGGUCCAAGAAAGAGUUUGUUCAGUCAUAUUCAGUGGAGCAACAAGCUUAUAUCACUGCAGCAAUAGGGUUAUGUUUGGAGAACAUGUCAAAAGAAGAAUUAGAAAUGAAUAGAGAUGUAUUAAAUUGUAUUCUUCAAGGAGUAAGCUGUAGGUUAGAGAGCCCAAUUGAUUUAGUCCGGAAAAUGGCAAGUGCUGUUGCAUUGACAUUUUCUAAAGUCGUUGAUCCAAAAAAUCCUCUUUACCUUGAUGAUGACUGUUCUGAGAAUGUUGACUGGGAGUUCGGGGUUCUCUCUCCAAAGGAGAUCACAGCUCCUUCACAUGAUGUAGAAUUUGGAAGCAAAUCAAAACCAUGUCCACGUAAGAACAGGAAACAUGCUGGUGACAAAAAGGGAAAGACUAUCAAGCAUGAUAUUUCAGAUAACAGAGUAAAAAUCAUAGAGAUCAAGUCAAAACUAGAUUCUGAUGAAAUGUCUGGCGCUGCUAUAAAUUUUGAGGAACAUUAUGACGAGGAAAGCAUUAACAUUGAUGCUUCCAGUGAUUCAUCCCUGGAGCCGUAUGAUCUGUCAGAUGAUGACACUGAUUUGCAGAAGAAUUUCACACAUCUAAGUGAUCUUGCAGCUGCACUGCGAAAACCUGACGAUCUAGAUGGUGUUGAAAGCGCUCUUAGUUCUGCCGAAAAGCUUGUGAGGGCAUCACCUGAUGAGCUGCGCCACUGCUCGGGUGAUCUUGUUCAAGCACUGGUACAUGUUCGUUGUUCUGAUGUCGCGAUGGAAGGCGAGGAAGAUUCUGCUGAAGAAAAGCGACAGAAGGCAUUAGUCGCUUUGCUGGUAACCAGCCCAUUUGAAUCAUUAGAUGUUCUUACCAAAUUGCUAUAUUCAUCGAGUGUGGAUAUAAGUCAGCGUAUUUUAGUUAUUGAUGUUAUGACUGAGGCAGCACAGGAACUUGCUGAAACUAAAAUUGUAAAGAGUGAACAGCGGCAUGGGAACUUGAUAUCUGAUACUUCUCCGUCUUGGCUGGUUCCUAGGGAGAGCGGACCUGUUGGGGCAAGCCCUUGGAGAGAGGUAUCAGAAACAGGAUCACUUUUGAAAAAUUGGUCACACCGGUAUGAAAGAGAAGUUCCAUCUAGACCAGGCCAGGUUAAAUCAGGAAAAUCUCGCAAAUGGGGUCUUGGGAAAGCAAAAGAUUCGCAGGUGGAGCGGUCAAAAAACAGAUUUCCUUUGUAUGCUGCUGCAUUUAUGCUCCCGGUUAUGGAAGGAUAUGACAAGAGAAGACAUGGGGUGGACUUGCUCAAUCGGGAUUUUGUUGUCCUAGGUAAAUUGAUAUACAUGCUUGGUGUCUGUAUGAAGUGCAUGGCAAUGCAUCCGGAAGCAUCAGCCAUUGCCCCAGCUUUUCUGGAUAUGAUAAGAGCCAGGGAGGUCUCGCAACAUGCUGAAGCAUAUGUGCGAAGGUCUGUGUUGUUUGCAGCUUCUUGUGUAUUGAUAGCCUUGCACCCGUCAUAUGUUGCAUCAGUUCUUAUAGAAGGCAACCAGGACAUUUCUACUGGUUUAGAAUGGAUACGUACAUGGGCCUUGCGUAUUGCUGAAGCUGAUCCUGAUACAGAGUGCACAUCGAUGGCCAUGGCCUGCGGCUCCAUUCAGAGAUGGUGCUCCAGACAUCCCGCGCCCUGGAAUCUGCAGAACAUUCCAAGGCUGGCACCAGAGCACUACCUUCUAAGCUCGAUAACAUUAUAA
rnacentral:rRNA from 1 species